rnacentral:ncRNA from 1 species
UUAAUAUUUAAUUAUGGUAUAUGGUAUAUUUAUUUAUUUAUAAUUUAUAUGAAUUUUUUUUUUGAUAUUAUUUUUAGUAGUAUUUAAUUUUAAUUAUUAAAUUAGUUUAGAAUUAGUAAUAUAAUUUAAUAUUUACAAAUUUUGUGCCAGCAGUAGCGGUUAUACAUAAAAUGUAAAAUAUAUAUAUUGGUUUUUAAUUAAAAGUUAAUUUUAUAAAAUAAAAUAUAAAUUUUAAGGUGAAAUUUAAAUUUAUAAAUUAUUUUAUUUUAAAAAUUUUGAAGUUAAGAAAUUUAUUUUUAAACUAGGAUUAGAUACCCUAUUAUUUUAAAUGUAAAAAUAAAAACCUAGUUAUUAAUAGUUAAGUUCUUUAAAGCUAAAUAAUUUGGCGGUAUUUUAAACUUUUCAGAGGAACCUGUCCUAUAAUCGAUAAUCCACGAUAGAAUUAACUUUAGUUAGUAAUUUUUAUAUCAUCGUUAUUAAAUAUUUUAUAAGAAUUUAAUAUUUAAAAUUUCUUUAUAAAGAAAUUAUUCAGAUCAAGGUGAAGUUUAUAUUAAAGAAGAGAUGGGUUACAAUUAAUUAUAUUAAUAGAAUAAAAAUUUAAAUAUUUAGAUGAAAUUGGAUUUGAAAGUAAUUACUUAAACUUAUUUGUAAUGAUUUAGCACUAAAAUAUGCACAUAUUGCCCGUCGCUUUCGAAUAAUUUGGAAUAAGUCGUAACAUAGUAGGCUUACUGGAAAGUGAUUCUAGAAGACA